AAAUUGAAGAGUUUGAUCAUGGCUCAGAUUGAACGCUGGCGGCAGGCCUAACACAUGCAAGUCGAGCGGUAGCACAGAGAGCUUGCUCUCGGGUGACGAGCGGCGGACGGGUGAGUAAUGUCUGGGAAACUGCCUGAUGGAGGGGGAUAACUACUGGAAACGGUAGCUAAUACCGCAUAACGUCGCAAGACCAAAGUGGGGGACCUUCGGGCCUCAUGCCAUCAGAUGUGCCCAGAUGGGAUUAGCUAGUAGGUGGGGUAACGGCUCACCUAGGCGACGAUCCCUAGCUGGUCUGAGAGGAUGACCAGCCACACUGGAACUGAGACACGGUCCAGACUCCUACGGGAGGCAGCAGUGGGGAAUAUUGCACAAUGGGCGCAAGCCUGAUGCAGCCAUGCCGCGUGUGUGAAGAAGGCCUUCGGGUUGUAAAGCACUUUCAGCGGGGAGGAAGGCGUUAAGGUUAAUAACCUUGUCGAUUGACGUUACCCGCAGAAGAAGCACCGGCUAACUCCGUGCCAGCAGCCGCGGUAAUACGGAGGGUGCAAGCGUUAAUCGGAAUUACUGGGCGUAAAGCGCACGCAGGCGGUCUGUCAAGUCGGAUGUGAAAUCCCCGGGCUCAACCUGGGAACUGCAUUCGAAACUGGCAGGCUAGAGUCUUGUAGAGGGGGGUAGAAUUCCAGGUGUAGCGGUGAAAUGCGUAGAGAUCUGGAGGAAUACCGGUGGCGAAGGCGGCCCCCUGGACAAAGACUGACGCUCAGGUGCGAAAGCGUGGGGAGCAAACAGGAUUAGAUACCCUGGUAGUCCACGCCGUAAACGAUGUCGAUUUGGAGGUUGUGCCCUUGAGGCGUGGCUUCCGGAGCUAACGCGUUAAAUCGACCGCCUGGGGAGUACGGCCGCAAGGUUAAAACUCAAAUGAAUUGACGGGGGCCCGCACAAGCGGUGGAGCAUGUGGUUUAAUUCGAUGCAACGCGAAGAACCUUACCUGGUCUUGACAUCCACAGAACUUUCCAGAGAUGGAUUGGUGCCUUCGGGAACUGUGAGACAGGUGCUGCAUGGCUGUCGUCAGCUCGUGUUGUGAAAUGUUGGGUUAAGUCCCGCAACGAGCGCAACCCUUAUCCUUUGUUGCCAGCGGUCCGGCCGGGAACUCAAAGGAGACUGCCAGUGAUAAACUGGAGGAAGGUGGGGAUGACGUCAAGUCAUCAUGGCCCUUACGACCAGGGCUACACACGUGCUACAAUGGCAUAUACAAAGAGAAGCGACCUCGCGAGAGCAAGCGGACCUCAUAAAGUAUGUCGUAGUCCGGAUUGGAGUCUGCAACUCGACUCCAUGAAGUCGGAAUCGCUAGUAAUCGUAGAUCAGAAUGCUACGGUGAAUACGUUCCCGGGCCUUGUACACACCGCCCGUCACACCAUGGGAGUGGGUUGCAAAAGAAGUAGGUAGCUUAACCUUCGGGAGGGCGCUUACCACUUUGUGAUUCAUGACUGGGGUGAAGUCGUAACAAGGUAACCGUAGGGGAACCUGCGGUUGGAUCACCUCCUUACCUUAAAGAA
rnacentral:rRNA from 2 species